UAGGGAAUCUUCGGCAAUGGACGAAAGUCUGACCGAGCAACGCCGCGUGAGUGAAGAAGGUUUUCGGAUCGUAAAACUCUGUUGUUAGAGAAGAACAAGGACGUUAGUAACUGAACGUCCCCUGACGGUAUCUAACCAGAAAGCCACGGCUAACUACGUGCCAGCAGCCGCGGUAAUACGUAGGUGGCAAGCGUUGUCCGGAUUUAUUGGGCGUAAAGCGAGCGCAGGCGGUUACUUAAGUUUGAUGUGAAAGCCCCCGGCUCAACCGGGGAGGGUCAUUGGAAACUGGGAGACUUGAGUGCAGAAGAGGAGAGUGGAAUUCCAUGUGUAGCGGUGAAAUGCGUAGAUAUAUGGAGGAACACCAGUGGCGAAGGCGGCUCUCUGGUCUGUAACUGACGCUGAGGCUCGAAAGCGUGGGGAGCAAACAGG
rnacentral:rRNA from 1 species